GUCAGUCCCCAGCAAGGAACAACGUGCUGUGGCAUUGCAAGGAAUAAAACCCCAAAUGGGCUGGAAGUUUAUUAUGGGGGAAAGAAAAAACCUCAGCCCAUCUGGAAACACGAAAGUCAUUGUUUCAUCCCCCUCAGGGGUGAAGAAGGAAGCCACAAGAGAAAAGAGCUGGGAUUUUCAGGGUGCAGAUGAGGCAUGUUCUACCAUUUGAAGCUGUCCUAAAGCCACCACCUUUUCCUGCAGCAUCAGGGAGAAGGCAGGUUCAUUCCACUUAAAUAAAGUAACCCUGAUUUAUUGCCA
rnacentral:lncRNA from 1 species